rnacentral:rRNA from 1 species
AGAGCGAACGCUGGCGGCAGGCCUAACACAUGCAAGUCGAGCGCCCCGCAAGGGGAGCGGCAGACGGGUGAGUAACGCGUGGGAACAUACCCUCCGGUUCGGAAUAGCUCAGGGAAACUUGGAUUAAUACCGGAUACGGCCUAGCGGCGAAAGAUUCAUCGCCGGAGGAUUGGCCCGCGUUCGAUUAGCUAGUUGGUGAGGUAACGGCUCACCAAGGCGACGAUCGAUAGCUGGUCUGAGAGGAUGAUCAGCCACAUUGGGACUGAGACACGGCCCAAACUCCUACGGGAGGCAGCAGUGGGGAAUAUUGGACAAUGGGCGCAAGCCUGAUCCAGCCAUGCCGCGUGAGUGAUGACGGCCUUAGGGUUGUAAAGCUCUUUCGCUAGGGACGAUAAUGACGGUACCUAGACAAGAAGCCCGGCUAACUUCGCGCCAGCAGCCGC